AACGAACGCUGGCGGUAUGCUUUACACAUGCAAGUCGAACGAACUGUUAUUAGCUUGCUAUUAACAGUUAGUGGCAAACGGGUGAGUAACGCGUGGGAAUCUGCCCUAUAGUACGGAAUAGCCGUUGGAAACGACGAUUAAUACCGUAUAUGUUCUCCGGAACAAAGAUUUAUCGCUAUAGGAUGAGCCCACGUUAGAUUAGUUUGUUGGUGAGGUAAUGGCUCACCAAGACUGCGAUCUAUAGCUGGUUUGAGAGGAUGAUCAGCCACACUGGAACUGAGAUACGGUCCAGACUUCUACGGAAGGCAGCAGUGAGGAAUAUUGGACAAUGGGCGAAAGCCUGAUCCAGCAAUACCGCGUGAGUGAUGAAGGCUUUAGGGUUGUAAAGCACUUUCAGUCAGGAGGAAAGUUAGUAGUUAAUACCUGCUAGCUGUGACGUUACUGACAGAAGAAGCACCGGCUAACUCCGUGCCAGCAGCCGC
rnacentral:rRNA from 1 species